rnacentral:lncRNA from 1 species
ACACUUAUCAGCUAUGAGCUUCAGUACUUGCAUUGCCUCUGUGUGAGACAGGUAAUAAAGAAUACCUUCGAGAACCCAUACGGUGUUAAUCUCUGGCAGAAAACCCGAUUUCUUAAGCUGUUCAAACCAAUCGUUGUCUCUGAUAUCAAUUGCUACUCUGACUAGUGAUUUCGCUGUCAUCCUAAGAUCAUCUCUAGAGUUUACAGCAGCUUGAACUAGGCUCGCUUUGGUUUCCAAAACAUCUUGAAAAUCUACUUCGAAUACGUCGCUUUUGUUCAAGCAGUUUAGUCGGUAUGAUCUCGCAUCCAUUCCUGAAAUUCAAUUACACCAUUCUAUGUUGGCUACUUAUCUUAAACUCAUGCUUCACAUAUAUCAUCGGUAAUCUCACAAAUAUACAUUACUUAAAUUUUCUAAAUAGUUGAAACCAAACCUGCACCAAGUAGCACAACCUGAGCUGCAUCACUUUCGAAAGACUCCAGAGCAGCUUGAAUCCUUGUAUCAAAC